rnacentral:rRNA from 1 species
AUUGAACGCUGGCGGCAUGCCUUACACAUGCAAGUCGAACGGUAACGGGCCUUCGGGUGCCGACGAGUGGCGAACGGGUGAGUAAUGCAUCGGAACGUACCUUUCAGUGGGGGAUAACGUAGCGAAAGUUACGCUAAUACCGCAUAUUCCGUGAGGAGGAAAGCAGGGGAUCGCAAGACCUUGCGCUGAUUGAGCGGCCGAUGUCAGAUUAGCUAGUUGGUGAGGUAAAGGCUCACCAAGGCGACGAUCUGUAGCGGGUCUGAGAGGAUGAUCCGCCACACUGGGACUGAGACACGGCCCAGACUCCUACGGGAGGCAGCAGUGGGGAAUUUUGGACAAUGGGGGCAACCCUGAUCCAGCCAUGCCGCGUGAGUGAAGAAGGCCUUCGGGUUGUAAAGCUCUUUCGGCCGGGAAGAAAUCGCACAGGCUAAUACCUUGUGUGGAUGACGGUACCGGAAUAAGAAGCACCGGCUAACUACGUGCCAGCAGCCGCGGUAA